CGACGAGUGCCCCGGCGGGUACUGCGCCUUCGGCCGCACACAUUUCGACCUCAGUGGUGCUGCCUUCAGCCACAUGGCAGUCGCUGGAGAUGCGGCGAAUCUCCGUAACCGUGGAGAGAUCUCUGUUAUGUAUCGCAGGACGGUGUGUAAGUAUCGGGGCAAGAAUAUUGCUUUCCAUGUGAACGAGGGUUCGACCAACUUUUGG
rnacentral:misc_RNA from 1 species